UGCGUAGGCGGAAUGAUAAGUUAGUAGUGAAAUCCCCCGGCUCAACCGGGGCACUGCCAUUAAUACUGUCAUUCUUGAGUAUAGUUGAAGUGGGCGGAAUGUAUCAUGUAGCGGUGAAAUGCUUAGAUAUGAUACAGAACACCGAUAGCGUAGGCAGCUUGCUAAACUAUAACUGACGCUCAGGCACGAAAGCGUGGGGAGCAAACAGGAUUAGAUACCCUGGUAGUCC
rnacentral:rRNA from 1 species